rnacentral:lncRNA from 1 species
AAUACAAAAGCUUUACAAUAGCAGUACACGAGCUGUACAAUGUGCAAAGUGCACCGCCGUUGCACAUGACCUGCAGGUUCACAGCUGUGAACCACAGCACUCACUGCUUUCUUCAUACAUUUGAACUAUCCCUGAAUGACAGGUACGAAUUCAUAGCAAAUCCUAACAUGACCGAUGCAACUCAGCCAGCAACUCUUACCAUGGAAAAGGGUCCAACAGUCUAAUGUCAGAAAAAAUGGACACACAAAUGUUAAGCGCAUGUAACUGUACCACAAUACAGCAACUAUUGUCUUCUUAUUAAAGCGCUCAAUCCUCGCCUCCGCUGGUGUCAUCUUCAAGAACGACGGCAUAUAUCUGCAUAUGAAAGGAUCACAACAAAUCAUUGUUUAGGCAGGAACACAUAGUUGUGAGCAUGUUACGUACAAUGACGGCUGUAGGUGUGACACCGGCAUAACGUGCCUCGAAAUAAGGCAACAAAAAGCAUUUAGUUAAUAGCCAUGGUCUUGCAACCAGAGGCUUCAUACCUCCGAACGGCCGCUACGUGGCCUGCCACGUCCCGUUUGAGCCCGACUCUUGUUCAUAUCCUUACCACCAUCCUUGCGCUUGUCCUGUUCCUUGCGAUUCUCCUGCUCGUGUCCUUGGAAUGUAAAAUGCCAAGGCAUAAUGUCAGUGUAUGCACCUGCAUGAUGGCCAUUUACUGCCGGUGCCGUCUAGUCCCCCUUUUCCUGUUUUCCCCUGCUUGCCUGCGAAUGAAUGGUGCGCCAUUAUAGAGGAAGAAAGACAGAUUCUUGUUAUGAAGAUACUAAUUCAUUGGGCUUUACCUUACACUGUCGUCAUUGGAGGAUCAGCGUGAGUAUAAGAAAUGCAUACACGCUAAACAACAAAUUCAAGAUAAUCUUAUUAGUGCAAUGCGCGCAAUGAAUUACUGCCCUGAGGACACGGGCAGCACUGGGCCUUAUGCCCAACUUACUCCCAACUCCCAACUAACCCUCUUACUUAACGCAAGCUCGCAUAAGUUGUUGCGUCAGAGACAAAUGCCAAAGGAGAAGAUACCCCCUCUAACGGUUGAAAUACUGAACCACCACGGCGCUUCGUGCCUAGCCACAAGAGGGCCAAAGACGUGAGAGCUGCCAGACAGACACGCACACCGAAACUCCCGAAGCCAAACGCCUCGAAAUACCGGUCCGGAAGCCCUUUCAGCCUCCCAGGCAUGUCCCCACCUGCCUCACAGCCACCGACGCAUCUCACGGCGGGGUUCUAAUUGCGUGCGCGUUCGCAUGCGGCAUGUCCCGCCACCUUUCUGGCAUCUAGUUGAUGGUAGGAUGAAUCGUUGUGCGAUGUAGGGCUGCGCCUGAUGCGAUUUCGUUUGUGGAAGCCCCCCCUGAGUGCUGCCAAGCAUGUUAUUAUCUCAUGAGACUGCGUGAAGGUUUACGAACUGAGUACCGUACUGCUACGAAUGUUUCGCGCCACACCAUUCGUUUUGGGCCACGAAGUGUGUCACAGUGGAAAAAGCUCUAUGGGGAAAAUUAUUUGUCGCGAAAAUGUCUGGCACGAAUGUGUUGUACGCC